rnacentral:misc_RNA from 1 species
GGGUCCAAAGGAUCUGAAACAUCUAAGGACUUUGAUCAUGAACACCAGAAUUAUAAGUUAUGUGGUAUUAAAGAGAGAUGGGCACAGCAUAGGAGAAAUGCAAAGAGACGUCGAAGAAGAUUGUUGACUGCUGAAUGAUCUAAUUGAUGGUUAAGUUUUGUUCUGCAUUUCCGUCCCAUUUUCUUGUAAUACGGAACUGCAUAGCAAUACUUAUCAAAUAUUUAUCUAUCUAAAGAUUGUAAUUCUUUUCCAGUACUCAACUGUUAGGUUGUGUCAAUUAAUCGUAAUCCCAGCUCAAAAUCAGCAGAUGAUACAAUUGUCUGAGCAAGGGCACUGCUGCUACCAGUUGAGAACGCUGCUACUCUCUACUGCUCUUUUGUUUUUUUGGAUGUUGCUUUCACAAGUAAUUUGUCAACCCCAGUUUUCUAUACUCUUUCAUUUGCUAUGUAUGUUAUUAAAAGAUGAUUUAAGCAUAUAAGCUCCUUAAACAUGCUUGAAAAUCUGCCAUACAGUUGUCUAGAGCAGGAUCAAUCAAGUCGAUACCCAGCUGCUUGCUGUCCCAAUUGGACGGCAGACAAUACUUAUGGCUUUUGCUUCCCGCUGUAAAGGCUAGAGAGGUUUAUACAUAAGGUCAUUUGAUAUUGCACCCUACGGUCUCCCCCUCGUACAUGGGACGACGAACAAAAUCCUAUUGGAGGCUUCUAAGGACGGCACUUGCAGUUGUUUUGUUCCCAGGCAAUGACCAAUGAGAUGCAAGUCUUUGGAGAAAGCCAACUAUCCUCUAAUCUGAUGAAAUUUUCUUUACAUUCAAGUACAUAUGGCCUAAGUAAAUGGAAAUUACAGUUUUGUUACAUUAGUAGAUUACUGUAACACUACAAAGAAGAUUGGAAAUUUACAGUAGUUUUGGCAUAUCAGUUGGUGUAUAAGUUCAUAAUUGAAAGAAGAGGGGGGUGGGUUUAGUGGGGGGAACCAAUGAUGUAAGAAAACGAUUCUACUAAACAAUUAAGUUACAGGGUUUAUUUCAACCUAAAGAACAUGGUUGCAAAUUACAACAAAAUCUAGACAUGUUGCACAAGCACUCAGGCAAAGAAACAAGGUUUAUUUUGUCUCCUUGAUCUCUCUUUUAUGCUUCCGAUACUCCAUGGUAUUAGUCCUAUGAUCUUCCUUAUUGGUCCUGGCACGUUUCAACUAUGUUACACAUUCUACAAAUUUCUGUAACCUGCACAUGGGGCUAGAGGCUACCAACAAUGUAUUACUCGUACCUCAGUGCGUGAAAGAAAGUCACUGACAAAGUUAAGCUGUAUAGACACUGCACUGCAUACUUUCAUUAUCAUUCAAAUCCGCAUUUCGUGGGUUAUACUUGGGAUCUGCAGCAUACGAUGCACUGACUGGGAUUUGAAUGGAUUCAUUACAUACCAAGUCAUCAAGCCUGUUCUUUGCAUAGCUCACGUAUGCACCUAGAGCUCCCAGAAACCCUUCAUGCCGCAAAAACAUUGCUUUUGCCUCCCCUUUAGACCUUAGAAAAUUCAAAGGAAAAAGAAAUUUGUUAAGCAUUCUUAGAAGAAAGCCAUGAGAGCAGCACGCAAAGAACAAGUGUGUGUGUUUAUAUAUAAUGCAUUAUGGGAACUUCAGAAAGUUUUCAUGUUAUUUCACCUUCAUUUGCUAUGAUUGGUACUUCAUGUACUUCAUUUUCCAUUUGACUUUUCAUUUACCAUGAUUCAUGGAAUCAUUAUUUCUUAAAUUUGUUCUAUUAUAAGUUUCAUUUCCUAAUUUCUAGUUGCAACUCCAUCAACAACAGUAAGGAUGUAUACUAUGCCUGGAAUAUGAUACUCAUUAACAGGAUAUGAACUCCACCUCAACUUCUCUACAGCCCCAAAAAGCUCUCUGCCAAAAGAUGCAAAGCAACUUCCUUCCCAAUGAACUAUAUUUUACAAUUUAGAUGUCAACAAAUGGAAUGCAGUCCUAGAAAAUUACCAGAAAUGAACUGCAACUGAAAUUGUGUCCAUAGUAUAGGGUUGACCCUGUAUGAAAAAUCCUCCAAAAAAUAUCCUCUUGAGCCCAAAUUGGAGCGCAUUCAAGUAAGCAAUCUGCCCAAUAUUAUUUGAAAUCAUUCUAAGAAGAGACCGGGCGACGUCUUCAGGUUUGUAAUCUUCAAGCUCUUUAUAGUCAGAAACAGCCUUCCCAAAGCUUGAUGCAAUAGUUGUUGAUGAAAGGCCAAUCUUUGAAUAAUCCAUUCCACCAUAGAUGUCUCCGACAAGCAUGUCUAUCACUCGGUUAUUUCCCCUAUAACUUAGCUCCAACAAUUCAUCAAAACUCUUGCAUUUUGUUAGUAACCUUCCCAAACCCCAAAAGGUGCCACCUCCAACAUUUGUUCCGCUAACUCGUUCAAAUUUGCCAUCUCCAUCCACCUUUAUCAUGCUAACACCAGAUCCUAUAUUCACAAGUAGGUAUGGGUACAGAUCAUUUUGGUCAAUCUGCAUAAAUUCCUUCUCACCACCCACGUAUGUAUAAGCUUCACGAUGAACUGCCUACUCAAAGAACAAUCAUAAUAUAGGUUAAACAUUUGUAAGAUAAACAAGGAACUAUUGGGAAAAUUGACAAUAAAACAAUUAAGUGUUCAUUUAGAUAGGUGUACAUUUGAAAUGAAAUUAGACUUGAAUUUAUGUUUCAAGUUGGAAAUGAUAAAAAAUAAAUAUUAAUGUCAAAUUCAAACACCCCUUCAUUUCAAAUUCUCAUCCAUCCAAAUGAAUCCUAAAAAAAAUUAAAAUGCUAUGAUAGUGAUGUAUGCAUGCAGUACCGAACAAGCACACCAUCAUCCCACCUCUAACACUCACAUGCAAAAAGAACCUUUUCUUUUGCUUGAGGAGUGAAGGAGAUGCGGGGCACAGCUAUACACUGAAAUUUCCAACACCAACUGUAGCUGUGUUAUGCCAUCAUCUUCAUUAGCUAUUCUUUUAGAUGCAUGGAUAAUGAAAAAGAAAUAAGAAUCAGAAGUUAUGAACUACUUUUUUAAGAUGAAUAUAUGAACAACAAUAUAAGAAUAUUACUUGCUUUACCCUCUCUGAAUGAUAAGAACCUAGAACAGGAUCAAUUAUUCAUAUUCUCAUAACUAAAACAUAUAUUUCCUAAAGAGAUAUGGAUUAGACAACUGCUAUACUCAGAAUAAACUGCCUUAUCAAUUUUCACCAAAAUAAAGAAUAUACUAAUUUCUAGGAGAUUUGGGUUAGACAACUGCUAUACUAAGAAUAAACUACCUUAACAAUUUUGACCAAAAUAAACAGUGUACCACCUUAUCAAAUAGUCACCUAAUGUAUAAUGCAACUUGAAGAAGAUUAGUCUUCCAAUACUUCAAUAGCUUUCUGGAACUGCAUGUAUUAAUGACAUUCAAACCAUAUCGAAUGUCUCUGACAUAGAUAUAUUGUUCAAUAAAAAAAUUGAUUCAAUGCUCAAUUGUCAAGUCACAUAUUCCCUGCAUGCUGCGCAAUUAAUAUAUGGAAACACUCAUACAGCAAACAUGAGAUGUAAGCUUAAAAAACUGUAUUCACGUUUUUUACGAAAAGAAAGAAAGAAAAUAAAAACUACAGAAGAUAUGCAUAAUCUACAAAAUGUUAUUAAAAAAAACCUCAAUGCAAAAAAAUGAUCUAGAAAAUUACGUGGAGACAACAUAUAUUUAUGUGGAUGUACAAUAGAAGCAAACAAGUUACGAAAGGGUCAAGAUAGAUUGAAGGCAGGAAACUCUGUCCAACCAAAGGACUUCGUAAUCUUCAAAGAAAUCUGCCAGCUUGUUCAUACCAAAUAUAUGUGGCUUUAAGAUCUCACCUUAAGCAAAAAAUUUGCUCCUGCCACA